rnacentral:rRNA from 1 species
GAUGAACGCUAGCUACAGGCUUAACACAUGCAAGUCGAGGGACCGGCGCACGGGUGAGUAACACGUAUCCGACCUGCCCUUUACUCGGGGAUAGCCUUUCGAAAGAAAGAUUAAUACCCGAUAUAAAGGAUGGGGAUGUGUUCCAUUAGGUUGUUGGUGAGGUACAGGCUCACCAAGCCUUCGAUGGAUAGGGGUUCGGAGAGUAAGGUCCCCCACAUGGGAACUGCGACACGGUCCAAAAUCCUACGGGAGGUAGCAGUGAGGAAGAGUGGGCAAUGGGCGCUAGCCUGAACCUGCAAAGUAGCGUGAAGGAUGAAGGCUUUUGGGUCGUAAACUUCUUUUAUAGAAGAAUAUGUAUUAUAUGAAUAAGGAUCGGCUAACUCCGUGCCAGCAGCCGCGGUAAUUC